AUGGCUGGAACUCGCUGGAACUGGAAGAGCCUUUUACAAUUACUGACGGUACUUACUGACUGAUUUGUGAUGAAAUUAAGAUGAUGUGCAUGCCUAAAGACACGACUAUCUACUGACACCACUCGCUUCAAUUACUAUGACUACACUGAGGCUCAAGUUCUGUGUUUAUGAUUUAUGUACGGUAUAAUGUACCUCAUUUUACUUAAUCUCUUCUAGUAAAGCAGGUAUUGCCACAGUUGCCACAGUGAAAUAAAAUGGUGGAUAUGAAAUGGGAAGAAGUGAGGAGCUUAUUUCAAGCAAAUGGUCAAUAAAAUAAGAUUGUACUCCUGUCCAGCAGCAGCAUGUGGAUACAUCUUAAUGACUGUUUCUACAGCUAUACUACAGUUCCUCCUUCCCACCCCAUGUGUCUCCCUUUCUCUCUGUCCCUCUCUAUCUCACACUGGACCUCCAUCAAUAAACCUAGGUAAGUUUAUAAUACUUAAA